GGCUCGUUAGCUCAGUUGGUUAGAGCGCCACACUUCAUAUCGCGGAGGUCGUAGGUUCGAUUCCUACAUGAGCCC
rnacentral:tRNA from 1 species